GCCUUAAUGAGGUUUGGGAGGUUUUUGUUGCUUUAAUCGAACUUUUUGUGCUUUUCCAGGCUGGGAGAGCACCCAGAGGUGCUGGUGGCAGAGGGGGUGGCACCGUGUCCCCCCUGCUUGGGUGGGCAGGGAAUAUCCCGGGCUGGGGCGAAGUGGAUCCAUGGGUUUGGGAACGCGGCGAUGGAAGGGCAGAACUUCCCCUGGGAAGGGAGAAUCCUCCCCCCAAACCCAUCCCCGUCCCUCCCCAGCCCCCGGAAACUCCCCCUGGAUCCUUCCCUUCUCCGGGUGAGCGUUCCCGGAGCUGCUCCAGGUGCUGCCGGUGAUGGGAACCCCGCACAAAUCCCUGAUGGGAGCCGGGCAGGGCUGAGCUGGGAUGGGCACAGGGACACUGAGGGCGCACCUGGAAUGCUGCAGGAGGAGAGCGCGGGCUGCGGGAUCGCCGGGAUUUCCUCAGCUGCUUCCACGGCUGGGGUUAAUUAAUGACUCAUUAAAGCCCCUCCCCGAGGCUUUGCCGUCGUCGGGACUCGGGGCGCAGCAUUCCCAGAGGGACCUGGGGAGACCUUGGGGCUCCCGGGGCCUGAAGGAGUUUCAGGUGAGCCGGAGAGGGGUUGGGGACAAGGGAUGGAGGGACAGGACCCUGCCGGAGGGAUGGACGGACGGGAUUUUGGGAAGGAAUUCCCAGAGAAGCUGUGGCUGCCCCUGGAUCCCGGGAAUUUUCAGAGCCGGGUUUGGAGCGGCCCCAUCCCGCUGCUGCUCCGCAAUUCCGAGCUUUGGAUCCUUCUCCGGCUCCGUCCCCUCGCCACAAUCCCCCAAAAAACUCCCCAAAAACCCCUCGGGGCAUUCCCCACCUUUGCGUGCCAUUAACCGCAACCCCGGGCUGGAAUUGCCGAGCCCGGAGCUGCCCCGGCAGCCGCAGGGACCUGUCCCUGCUUUCUGCAGCACUUCCUUAAAUAAUCUGCUUUCCCCAACACUUAACCUCGGGAUCCUCCCCUUGGAACGCGGGCGAGUCUGGCGCGCACUCGCCGGACCACCCUGGGAAGCAAAUCCCGAUAAUUUAUGGAGAGGCUCAGCUGAGAACAGCCCUGAACACCAGCAGAAGCUGGCGACGCCAGGGAGGCUUUCAGAACCUGCCUGGGCGUCGGGAUCAAAGCAGCAGCGAUCCCCUUCCUCACCGGGGGCGCGGGGAACGUCCAGGGGCCCCCAGGAUCCCAGAGCCAGCCCAGGAAUGUCAAGCGGGGCUAAGUGCUCGCCCCAGCGGCACUGCCGGACAAAAGGCGACACUUGGGGACAUUAAAUCGCUCAGGGACAGUCAAGGACUCUUCAAAGCGGCUGCGAAUUGUGUGGCCAAGCUGGGAAACACGAGGCACAGGCUCCUGCUGGCCCGGGCGCGCCUCUCAUCGGGGAAAAGGAUGGAGCAGAGAGAAAAAAAAAUCCCCAAAAUCCUAUUUUUGAUUUGGGAAAAUGAAGGGGAGAGCUCGGGGAUUUGGUCUGGGGCUCCAGGGGAGGAUGCCAGGGCUGGAAACGAUGCCAGGAGAAGAUGCCAGGAGGGUGCUGGGGUGUCUGGAGGAGAUGCUGAGGCUGAAGAAGAAGAUGUGGAGUAACCGGGGGCAGAGGUUGUGGUACCCAGGGCAGAUUUGGGGCUGCUGGGGAAGAUGUUGAGGCACCCAGGUAAGAUGUUGGGGUACCCAGGGAAGGUGCUGAGGUACCCAGGUAAGAUGUUGGGGUACCCAGGGAAGGUGCUGAGGUACCCAGGUAAGAUGUUGGGGUACCCAGGGAAGGUGCUGAGGUACCCAGGUAAGAUGUUGGGGUACCCAGGGAAGGUGCUGAGGUACCCAGGUAAGAUGUUGGGGUACCCAGGGAAGGUGCUGAGGUACCCAGGUAAGAUGUUGGGGUACCCAGGGAAGGUGCUGAGGUACCCAGGUAAGAUGUUGGGGUACCCAGGGAAGGUGCUGAGCAAAUCUCUGCCUGCUCCCAAACAUCCCAAAUCCCCAUUUCCCCUAAACCCCUAUUUCCUACAUCCCUGCCUGCCCUCACCCCAAAUGCCCAUUCCCCAGCUCCCCGCCCGCUCCCAAACACCCCCAAAUCCCCAUUUAUCGUUUCUCCGUUCCUGGGGUCACAUUUCAGACCAGCCCUGACUGUCAAACCAGCGCCCCAAGCCGGGUUAUCCCUUUUGGGGUUUGGAUUGGGGAUUUCUGACCCGGGACAAACCCGGUGCGGAGUUCUCCCUGGGCUGAUUUAAUUCCCAAAACCCGCAGGAAUGUCAAGCGGGGCUAAGUGCUCGCCCCAGCGGCACUGCCGGACAAAAGGCGACACUUGGGGACAUUAAAUCGCUCAGGGACAGUCAAGGACUCUUCAAAGCGGCUGCGAAUUGUGUGGCCAAGCUGGGAAACACGAGGCACAGGCUCCUGCUGGCCCGGGCACGCCUCUCAUCGGGGAAAAGGAUGGAGCAGAGAGCAAAAAUAAUCCCCAAAAUCCUAUUUUUGAUUUGGGAAAAUGAAGGGGAGAGCUCGGGGAUUUGGUCUGGGGCUCCAGGGGAGGAUGCCAGGGCUGGAAACGAUGCCAGGAGAAGAUGCCAGGAGGGUGCUGGGGUGUCUGGAGGAGAUGCUGAGGCUGAAGAAGAAGAUGUGGAGUAACCGGGGGCAGAGGUUGUGGUACCCAGGGCAGAUUUGGGGCUGCUGGGGAAGAUGUUGAGGCAGGUACCCGGCGAAGAUCUGGGGAGGAUGCUGAGGUACCCGGGGCAGAUUUGGGGUUGCUGGGGAGGAUGCUGAGGUACCCAGGGAAGAUCUGGGGCUGCUGGGGAAGAAGUUGAGGCACCUAGGGCAGAUCCGGGGGGGGAUGCUGGAGAAGAUUUGGGGUACCCAGGGAAGACCUUGGGGAGAUGUUGAGGUACCCAGGGAAGAUUUGGAGCUGCUGAGGAAGAUGUUGGGGUACCCAGAGAUGAUUUGGGGCUGCUGGGGAGGAUGCUGAGGUACCCAGGGAAGAUUUGGGGCUGCUGGGACCAGUGCCAGGGUUGCUGGGGAAGACGUUGGGGUACCCAGAGAAGAUUUGGGGAAGAUGCUGAGGUACCCGGCGAAGAUCUGGGGAGGAUGCUGAGGUACCCGGGGCAGAUUUGGGGUUGCUGGGGAGGAUGCUGAGGUACCCAGGGAAGAUCUGGGGCUGCUGGGGAAGAAGUUGAGGCACCUAGGGCAGAUCCGGGGGGGAUGCUGGAGAAGAUUUGGGGUACCCAGGGAAGACCUUGGGGGAUGCUGAGGUACCCGGGGUAGAUUUGGGGUUGCUGGGGAAGAUGUUGGGGUACCCAGGGAGGAUCCAGGGGUUUUGCUGAGGUACCCAGGGAGGAUCCGGGGGGGAUGCUGGGGUACCCAGGGAGGAUCCCCCCCCCCCCCCCCCCCCCCCCCCCCCCCCCCCCCCCCCCCCCCCCCCCCCCCCCCCCC
rnacentral:lncRNA from 12 species